GAGCACAGCAGCUUGCUUCCAAGAGAGGACGAUGCAGUGAAAGGGCCUUGCAGCACAUCAAGAUGGCAGAGAGAAUCACUAGAAAAGGGUUCCUCUUCCCCCAACCCAGCCCAGGAUCUGUGAAUGGAACUGCUCCAAGCCUGAAGAUAAAUAAAGCGAUAGCAAGGGCAUUUCCACAAGGCAGCCAAGGAAUUUGAAAGAGGAAGGAGAAACUGGGACCCCAAUGAGCCAUUUCCCUGUAUCCUGCUGUCCGCUGGCUCUGUAUAACACACAGAAAACAGUGAGUUACACAAGCUUUUGUAGGAACCAAGUUGCUGGCAUUGCUACAUGCAAGAGCACACACCAGCUGGGAUGACAAGAAGCACCGCGGGUCUCAUCUAACCAGCCAUGGCUCCCUUCGACUCUUGGAAAGAACAAACCUCCCAGUCACGUUGUUCACUUUACAGGAAGGGGGAAAAAUCCUUUUGCAGUGCACAAAACUGUGAAUAAUCAAUUUGUCAGUUUAGCCAUCAAACUGAGAAGCUGAAAACUUUUUGGUUUGAGCUGGUUUGAAACUUUAUUUUUGUCCAGGUUUCCUUAGACACGAAAAAGAUAUCAAUUCCCAAAUGAGGCACGGAAAGCCUCACACAAAAGCACUCAUUUAGUGUUCAAAAGUGGAAAACGGUCCUUCUAUACCUCUUUCUGGGAAGCACUCUGCAAACCUCAAAGCAUUUCUCAAAACUGAUGAGCUGCAGGGAGAGUUUGCUGCCUCCUCCCCAAGACCUGGGCACCAGUGCGUGGUCCAUUGACUCACAGCCCUCUGAUGACCACUUCUGAUGGCCUCUGCAGCACGGAAAUGGCAUUUUCCC